GUGCGGCCUGAAAAACAGCGCUGUGCCUUUGUAACGCAUCAUAAUAAUGUACGGCGCAGCUACGAUUUCCCUGGUGUUGGCGCAGUAUUCGCGCACCCCGGUAUAGC
rnacentral:sRNA from 1 species